rnacentral:rRNA from 1 species
AUGGAUGACCUCUCCGGCCGCACCGCCGCCUCGCCUCCGCCUCCGCCUCUUACUCUUCCACUUCCGCAUGACAACCUCCUCCUGGAGAUCCUCCUGCGGCUACCGCCUGAGCCAAUCUACCUCCUCCGCGCCUCCCUCGUCUCCAAGCACUGGCGCCGCCUCGUCCACGACGCCAGGUUCCUCCGCCGCUUCCGCGCGUUCCACGGGGCGCCUCCUGUGCUCGGCUUCCUCAACAACCAGCCGGGGCCUCCCCUCUUCGUCCCCACCUCCGACGCCUUCGCUGCAGUCCCCUCCUCCAUGAUGUCCCACGACUCUUGGUGGGCCUUGGACUGCCGCCACGGCCGCGCCCUCCUCCAACACAGGAACUCCGGGAAUCUCCUGGUCUGGCACCUCAUGUCCGGCGAGCAGCGCUGCUUGCCGCGGCCGCCGCCGGCGCUCGAUGGCUACGAUUGCGGACCCGGCUUCAACGCCGCGGUCCUCCGCGCGGCCGGCAACGAGGACCGCCUCGACUGCCGCUCCUGCCCGUUCCUCGUGGCCGUAGCGCUCACCCACGGCGGCCAUGCUGACCUGACCUCCGCCUGCGUCUACUCGUCUAAGACCGGCGUCUGGGGAGACGUCAUCUCCGUCGCCACGCUAGAGGAAGUUGAGGCCCGGCCGACGACUCUGGUCGGAAACACGCUCUACUGGCCAAUGACCGCCGGUUGCAUCCUUGAAUUUGAUGUGGACAAAUAUAGCUUGGAUACAAGUGAGGUGCCAAACGAUAUGUUUUGCUACUAUGAGGGCCUGAUUGUCCUCAUGCCGGCGGAGCAUGGAGGCCUUGGCUUUGCAGCAGUUGACGGUCUCAGUCUCCAUCUCUUCUCAAGGGUGGCUACCACUGACGGCACUCUAGUCUGGACGCUUUGCCGGGCCAUUGAUCUGAACAAGUUUCUUACGCCGGAUGUGGUGGUGAGCUGUAAGACGUUUUCAAUGGAGGCAAUUGGCGUCGCUGAAGGUGCUGAUGUGGUUUUCAUUUAUGCGUGUAAAUGCGCCUACAUGCUUCAUCUCAAGUCUAUGCAGUUUGAUGAGGUGUCCGUUAAAGGAACCUAUGCCAGCAUUUUUCCAUACACCAGUUUCUAUACCCCGGUACUACCAUGUCUUUUAUCCUCUAGGAAUGAUAAAGUGUAG